UGUUUGAUGUUCUAACGUGGACCCGUGAUCCGGGUUGCGGACAGUGUCUGGUGGGUAGUUUGACUGGGGCGGUCUCCUCCUAAAGAGUAACGGAGGAGCACGAAGGUUGGCUAAUCCUGGUCGGACAUCAGGAGGUUAGUGCAAUGGCAUAAGCCAGCUUGACUGCGAGCGUGACGGCGCGAGCAGGUGCGAAAGCAGGUCAUAGUGAUCCGGUGGUUCUGAAUGGAAGGGCCAUCGCUCAACGGAUAAAAGGUACUCCGGGGAUAACAGGCUGAUACCGCCCAAGAGUUCAUAUCGACGGCGGUGUUUGGCACCUCGAUGUCGGCUCAUCACAUCCUGGGGCUGAAGUAGGUCCCAAGGGUAUGGCUGUUCGCCAUUUAAAGUGGUACGCGAGCUGGGUUUAGAACGUCGUGAGACAGUUCGGUCCCUAUCUGCCGUGGGCGCUGGAGAACUGAGGGGGGCUGCUCCUAGUACGAGAGGACCGGAGUGGACGCAUCACUGGUGUUCGGGUUGUCAUGCCAAUGGCACUGCCCGGUAGCUAAAUGCGGAAGAGAUAAGUGCUGAAAGCAUCUAAGCACGAAACUUGCCCCGAGAUGAGUUCUCCCUGAGACUUUAGGUCUCCUGAAGGAACGUUGAAGACGACGACGUUGAUA
rnacentral:rRNA from 1 species